AGUCAAGUAAUUAAGUGCAUGUGGUGGAUGCCUUGGCAGUCAGAGGCGAUGAAAGACGUGAUAGCCUGCGAAAAGCUCCGGGAGGCGGCAAAUAUCCUUUGAUCCGGAGAUGUCUGAAUGGGGAACCCACCUACUUUAAGGUAGGUAUUGCAACAUGAAUACAUAGUGUUGCAAGGCGAACGAGGGGAAGUGAAACAUCUCAGUACCCUUAGGAAAAGAAAUCAAUUGAGAUUCCCUCAGUAGCGGCGAGCGAACGGGGAUCAGCCCAUUAAGUUAUGUGUGUUUUAGUGGAACGCUCUGGGAAGUGCGAACGUAGAGGGUGAUAUUCCCGUACACGAAAGGGCACACAUAAUGAUGACGAGUAGGGCGAGGCACGUGAAACCUUGUCUGAAUAUGGGGGGACCAUCCUCCAAGGCUAAAUACUCCUGACUGACCGAUAGUGAACCAGUACCGUGAGGGAAAGGCGAAAAGAACCCCUGUGAGGGGAGGAAAUAGAUCCUGAAACCGCAUGCAUACAAGCAGUGGGAGCACCUUCGUGGUGUGACUGCGUACCUUUUGUAUAAUGGGUCAGCGACUUAUAUUCAGUAGCGAGGUUAACCGUAUAGGGGAGCCGUAGAGAAAUCGAGUCUUAAUAGGGCGUUUAGUUGCUGGGUAUAGACCCGAAACCAGGCGAUCUAUCCAUGAGCAGGUUGAAGGUUGGGUAACACUAACUGGAGGACCGAACCCACUGUCGUUGAAAAGCCAGGGGAUGACUUGUGGAUAGGGGUGAAAGGCUAAUCAAGCCUGGUGAUAGCUGGUUCUCCCCGAAAGCUAUUUAGGUAGCGCCUCGGACGAAUACCAUAGGGGGUAGAGCACUGUUUCGGCUAGGGGGUCAUCCCGACUUACCAAACCGAUGCAAACUCCGAAUACCUAUGAGUACUAUCCGGGAGACAGACUGCGGGUGCUAACGUCCGUAGUCAAGAGGAAAACAAUCCAGACCGCCAGCUAAGGCCCCAAAAUCAUAGUUAAGUGGGAAACGAUGUGGGAAGGCAUAGACAGCUAGGAGGUUGGCUUAGAAGCAGCCACCCUUUAAAGAAAGCGUAAUAGCUCACUAGUCGAGUCGGCCUGCGCGGAAGAUGUAACGGGGCUAAAACUAUGUGCCGAAGCUGCGGAUGUAUACUUUGUAUACGUGGUAGGGGAGCGUUCUGUAAGCCGAUGAAGGUGUGUUGAGAAGCAUGCUGGAGGUAUCAGAAGUGCGAAUGCUGACGUGAGUAACGACAAAACGGGUGAAAAACCCGUUCGCCGAAAGACCAAGGGUUCCAGUCCAACGUUAAUCGGGGCUGGGUGAGUCGACCCUAAGGCGAGGCCGAAAGGCGUAGUCGAUGGGAAAAUGGUUAAUAUUCCAUUACUUCUGUGUAAUGCGAUGAGAGGACGGAGAAGGCUAAAUCAGCCUGGCGUUGGUUGUCCAGGUGAAAGGAUGUAGGCAUGUAUCUUAGGCAAAUCCGGGGUACUCUAUGCUGAGAUCUGAUAGCAAGCUGUACUUGUACAGCGAAGUGGUUGAUGCCAUGCUUCCAGGAAAAGUCUCUAAGCUUCAGUUACACAGGAAUCGUACCCGAAACCGACACAGGUGGUCAGGUCGAGUAGACCAAGGCGCUUGAGAGAACUCUGCUGAAGGAACUAGGCAAAAUGGUACCGUAACUUCGGGAGAAGGUACGCUGUUGUUGGUGAUGGAACUCGCUUCCUGAGCUGACGACAGCCGCAGAAACCAGGCCGCUGCAACUGUUUAUUAAAAACAUAGCACUCUGCAAACACGAAAGUGGACGUAUAGGGUGUGAUGCCUGCCCGGUGCUGGAAGGUUAAUUGAUGGGGUUAGCGUAAGCGAAGCUCUUGAUCGAAGCCCCAGUAAACGGCGGCCGUAACUAUAACGGUCCUAAGGUAGCGAAAUUCCUUGUCGGGUAAGUUCCGACCUGCACGAAUGGCAUAAUGAUGGCGGCGCUGUCUCCAGCAGAGGCUCAGUGAAAUCGAAAUCGCUGUGAAGAUGCAGUGUACCCGCGGCUAGACGGAAAGACCCCGUGAACCUUUACUGCAGCUUGACACUGAACUUUGACCUUACUUGUGUAGGAUAGGUGGGAGGCUUUGAAGCUGGAACGCUAGUUCCAGUGGAGCCGUCCUUGAAAUACCACCCUGGUAAUGUUGAGGUUCUAACUCUGUCCCGUGAUCCGGGACGAGGACCGUGUCUGGUGGGUAGUUUGACUGGGGCGGUCUCCUCCUAAAGAGUAACGGAGGAGUACGAAGGUGCGCUCAGCGUGGUCGGAAAUCACGCGUAGAGUAUAAAGGCAAAAGCGCGCUUAACUGCGAGACCCACAAGUCGAGCAGGUACGAAAGUAGGUCUUAGUGAUCCGGUGGUUCUGUAUGGAAGGGCCAUCGCUCAACGGAUAAAAGGUACUCUGGGGAUAACAGGCUGAUACCGCCCAAGAGUUCAUAUCGACGGCGGUGUUUGGCACCUCGAUGUCGGCUCAUCUCAUCCUGGGGCUGAAGCAGGUCCCAAGGGUAUGGCUGUUCGCCAUUUAAAGAGGUACGCGAGCUGGGUUUAGAACGUCGUGAGACAGUUCGGUCCCUAUCUACCGUGGGCGCUGGAAAUUUGAGAGGAUCUGCUCCUAGUACGAGAGGACCAGAGUGGACGAACCUCUGGUGUACCGGUUGUGACGCCAGUCGCAUCGCCGGGUAGCUAUGUUCGGAAGGGAUAACCGCUGAAAGCAUCUAAGCGGGAAGCCUACCUCAAGAUAAGAUUUCCCUAGGACUUUAUGUCCUCUAAAGAGCCGUUCGAGACUAGGACGUUGAUAGGUUGGAUGUGGAAGCAUAGUGAUAUGUGAAGCUGACCAAUACUAAUUGCUCGUGAGGCUUGACUAU
rnacentral:rRNA from 1 species